rnacentral:tRNA from 1 species
GGGUGUGAAGCUUAAGCGGAUGAGCAGGCGCCUUUUAAGCGUCAGGCAGCGGGUUCGAAUCCCGCCGCGCCCA